GAUGAACGCUGACAGAAUGCUUAACACAUGCAAGUCUACUUGAACUUCGGUUUGGGUGGCGGACGGGUGAGUAACGCGUAACGAACUUGCCUCACAGUUAGGGACAACAUUUGGAAACGAAUGCUAAUACCUGAUAUUAUGAUUUUAGGGCAUCCUAGGAUUAUGAAAGCUAUAUGUGCUGUGAGAGAGCUUUGCGUCCCAUUAGCUAGUUGGAGAGGUAACGGCUCACCAAGGCGAUGAUGGGUAGCCGGCCUGAGAGGGUGAACGGCCACAAGGGGACUGAGACACGGCCCUUACUCCUACGGGAGGCAGCAGUGGGGAAUAUUGGACAAUGGACCAAAAGUCUGAUCCAGCAAUUCUGUGUGCACGAUGACGUUUUUCGGAAUGUAAAGUGCUUUCAGUUGGGAAGAAAAAAAUGACGGUACCAACAGAAGAAGUGACGGCUAAAUACGUG
rnacentral:rRNA from 1 species